AAUUAAAAAAUAAUAAAUUUGCUUCAAAUCGCUUGCCUGGGGGAUUCUGGGGUCCUGGCUGCUUCCCUCCUCCUCCAGCCGCAACAGGCAGAGCAGCAGCACCGGUACAGACACAUAAAUGACGUUGUGAUAGACCAGGCUUACCGGACCUUUCCCUCUAGGAAAAAGUCUGUUUUUCAGUGUGCCCAUUUUAGAAAUAGUACAGGCUUUUGCAAACGCUCAGCUGACUGUGUUUCAUAGAAAAACAGGCAAUAAAAACAUCUACUUUAAGCUGCUUGGGAUCAGAUCCUGCGUUUUUCUCAAGGAAAAAAAAAUCCCAGGGAGUUAAUAGCAAUUCUGUUUCAGAGAGGAGCAGCCUGCGUCUGUCCCAGCACAUGGAAGCAGCUGAGCGUUUCAGCAGAGCAGAAUGAAAGCCCGAUCGUCCGGACGCUGCAGCUCCAUAUCCCAGGGACCAGGUCGGGUAGCUCGCGGCUGAGAUAAUGUUCCCGCAGGUGGAGAGAUGAAAAAUGCCUACAGUGCCUGAUCGUCUGCCUUGUUCCUCCAUGGUGUGGGAUCAUUCCCUCCUGAUUGGCAGCAGCAUUAGUCCUCAGGCGAGCAGCGCGUUGGCCUCGGGAUGGAGACGAGAAGGUCUCGGAAGCCCCGGGCAAGCGGCGGCUCUCUGAUGCAGCGCUUAAAAUCCUCCUCGCCGACGAGCACAGCAGGGCUUGAUGCGUCUCCACUGUGGAGGGAAGCGCCCGGCACUAGGGAGGAGGGUGCUUCACUCUUCUCUCCUUGCUGCAAAAUAUAUAUCGAUGAGCCGCUGGGAACAAAGAAUCAGCAGAAACGCUUGCUGUACUGGCGUGGCGGUGAGACACCUCCAAAAAAUGUAUUUCUUUAGAGGCAGGGGAACGGGAGGCAGGAGCUGCUGCUGCCCAGCUGUUGGCAGGCUGAAGCAGAGUGAUCCCAACCCGGAGAGAUCUCGACCCAGAGAAAUAACAACCCGGAGCAAUCCUGACCCAGAGUGAUCCCGACCCAGAGCAAUCCCAACCAAAGCAAUACUGACCUGGAGCAAUCCCAACCCACAGCAAACCUGACCCAGAGCAAUCCCAACCCACAGCAAACCUGACCCAGAGCAAUCCCGUCCCAGAGUGAUCCCACCCCUGAGCAAUCCCAGCUCAGAGUGAUCCUGACCCAGGGCAAUCCUGAUCCAGAGCAAUCCUGACCUGCAGCGAUCCUGACCCACGGCAAUCCCAACCCAGAGCAAUCCCAACCCAGAGUGAUCCCAACCCUGAAUAAUCCCGACCCAGCGUGAUCCUGACCCAGCGUGAUCCCGAACUGGAGCAAUCCCAAUCUGGAGCAAUCCCAACCCACAGCAAUCCUGGCACAGAGUGAUCCCGACACAGAGCAAUUCUGACCUGGAGCAAUCCCAACCCACAGCAAUCCUGGCACAGAGUGAUCCCGACACAGAGCAAUUCUGACCUGGAGCAAUCCCAACCCAGAGCAAUCUUGACCCAGAGCAAUCCCAACCUGGAGCAAUCCCGACCCAGAGCAAUCCCAACCUGGAGCAAUCCCAAACCGGAGCGAUCUCGACCCAGAGCAAUCCCAAACCGGAGCGAUCUCGACCCAGAACAAUCCCAACCUGGAGCAAUCUCGACCCGGAGCGAUCUCGACCUGGAGCAAUCCCAACCUGGGGCAAUCCCAACCCAGAGUGAUCCCGACCCAGAGCACUCCCGCCCCGGAGUGCUCCUGGCACUGCAGCAGCCCGGAGGCCGGGGAGGCCGGGUGCCCUCGGCCGCCCGCCGGGGAGCUCAGCAGCUCUGCAGGAGUUGGGACGUGUUAGACUCAAGGCUUUGAAAAAUAGGGCACUGCUGCAUGUGCUGCCUUUAAUAUUUUAUACCCGCAGAAUAAAUUAUUGCUUGGAAGCUGGAGAGCGGCACAAGGCUGAGGGAGAACUAAGCUUGAGUUAAAUCCCUAGUAAGUUGAUUUAUUUUGCCUCAUAACGGCAUGCUUGAAUAUUACUUGGUUUAUUAAUUUGGACUAAUAUGUAGUUUCUUAUCUGCGAAACAUAAGCAAGGAAACGCUGUGCUAAAAUUGAUGCCCUGAUUUAUCACGUUCAACCUUUGCAUCUAUACUGCCGUGUAGGAAGACACCGCAAAUGCGACUCUCCCACAUUAAAACCGCUCUGCUUUUGAGCAAUACUGGGGCGAGCCCUUGCCCAGCCGCGAUGCGGCGGGUUGCAGAGGAGCAGCCCGGGGCCCUUCGCUUCCCGCCCAGCAGGACGAGUCUUUCAGGUCAAAGCAGGCAGAGUCGGUGCUGAUAAGCGCAUAGGGCGUGAGCACGUUACGUUCCCGGGCAUAGACAAUUAGCAAGUGACUUUAUUAAUGGUUUCUCUCCACUUAAGGUCUUUGGGCAGGGGCUCCCCGCUGUGGUGCCUUCUCCCCGCCGUGCACAUGCACCGGAGGAGCCGCUGGGGCAGGAGGCAGCACGAGGUGUCGGGAGGCUCUGGGGGCUCCCAGACUUGCGCCUUGCCGGGAGGUCCAUAUUGCAGGAGCUGCUCGUCGGAGAGCAAAGCCACAGGCCAAGCGCAAAGGAGUGGCUAGCAAGGGAAAAAAAAGCAGGAUGGAUUCGUGUUUCUAGGUUUUAGGUUCAGGGAGCUGGACUGGAUGAUUUUCAGAAGUCCCUUCCGACUUCAGUUAUUCUCUGGUUCUGCCCAGUUCCCAAGCUUUGGCGUGCACACGAGCAUAUCCGACACGCAUGGUUUUUCUAAAAUGCAAUGCCUUCCUCCGAAAGUAGUGAAGACAACCCUGAAUCAUGAUUUUGUCCUCAAUCUCAGAAGCUUUUCCCCAAAAAUUCCCGUUCCUGAAGCCGUCCGACUGUGGGAAAUUUGGCUGCCUUUUUUUCUGAUGUCGUUUAAAUAUGUUUCUCCUUGUCGGGCGCUGCAGAGCUGGACCCGGCUGCACAAGAUGCAGGCUGCAGUGCGUGGGGGCACGGGGGCCCCAGGCUUCCACGCUGGGAGCAACUGGUGUAACUGGGAGGACUCUCACUCAACCAACGGGAGUGCAAUUCACUUACAAAUCUGUCAUUUCCUGGCCAAUUUGACUGAAAUCGUAGGGGAAUUAGGGAACUAGGGUGACUUUUUUAUCUACUUUUAAAACAAAAACCAGACUUAAACGUGCAAGCGGGCGCAGUUUUGAGUGCAGAGCCUGUACGUGCAGUUGCUGCUGAGUGCGUGCAUCCAUGCAAAAAGUGAAUACGGCGGGUUUUAAAAUCUGUGCCAAAAUAUCGAAGUCUGACCUCGUGAUCAGAAAUCACCAAAAGGCCAUCGGUCAUUUUUAUUGAAUUGAAUGCAUUCAAUUUAAUGGCCACAUAUGACUUAUUUUCAGGAAUAUAAGUGUUACUCAGGAAAUCAGUUCUUUUAGGGGCAAAACUCCUCUAUUAAUGACAAAAAAUGGAUGGGACUCGUUAUGGUGGAGGAAUUAGUCGUUUGAGCAGCACGGCUUUGUUCAGCUGGAAUUCAAGCCAGCAAACUCUGCGUAAAUGUAUUAGCCAACUGCAAAAAGGUCAGCGAUUGCUUGUUGCUGGAGCUACAUUUCCACGCUGCUUCUUUUCAAAUCAGGAAAUUAUAGUGAUCAGAUUUUGCAUCACAAAUACUGUUUUUCUGGCACUCAUGGUUUCUCGCGCCCCUGCUAACGCCCUGCUUUGCGUGUUGGUGUGGCUGUGGAUGCCGCACGGGAGUUUGCCAUGCAGCGUAGCAUGGGCAGCCGGGCAAAUAGCUCGUCGUGCAAUUCUGUGCGCUCUCCUCGCGCAUGUACGUGCAUCCUGGACGCCAUCCGCUGUGGACUGUGCACGGAGCAUGGAAAACAUCCCCUUCAUCCACCAGCCCUGCAGCGUGCCAUCUGCUUGCACUGUGACUUUGCUUGACGAGCAAACCGGGGCGAUGGCGGGGGAGCGGGAGCUGCAGCUGCAGCAGGGCUCCGCUGUGCAAAGAGCACCCGGGAGCUCCCGCGGGGCCAAAGCCCGCCUGGAGCCGCUUCUCCGGCCUCGUCCCCUUUCUUCCUCCUCCCGCCGGCGCUGCCGCCCUGGGAGAGCCCAGCUGCAGCUGCGAGGGCUUUCAAGGCCCUCGGCAGCUUGCUGGGAGCUCAUGAAUAUUUUGCUUUGGCCUCGGUUCCCCUCGCAUUAGCUCCUCACCGUGCGAAAGUGCUCACGUGUCGCCUAUGUGUGACCCUGCGCAGUCUCAGCAUCUCCACCUGGAAGCCACCGGUGAAGGAGGAGGGACGUGGACGAUGCUGGCUCCUGUGCCGCUGCUGGGGUGAGGGUGCAGCUACGGCACCUUUGCAGGGGGCUCCUAGGGCAAAGACACCCCUCCGCCGUGGGCAGAAACAGCCACGUCCAACUUCUUGCUUUCGUAAUCUUCUCAAUGCAAAGAAACAGAGAGCAGUUGAGGUAUUAAUUUUGUGAGCUAUUGCAGUUUUUUAAUGGCUAGGGUUUAAUGGGGCCAGCCACUCUGCUUUUUUUUUUCCCCUGCAGAAAGACCCAUCCCCUUUCACAGUCAGGCCUCAUCAUCCUCAGGUUGUGCAUCUGCAACUUAAAAUAUAUCACUGUACAUCGCUUUAGUGUAGACCGCAUUCAGUCCUCACCCACACGUGAUGGUAUUGGAAGCUCCCCUCUGCAAAAGCAGCUUUUUCUUGGUUGCCAGGGCAACAUUGUUCCCCAAAUCCGGGGUUUUACGUGCUUUUUGGAGCAGCUCCACGGAUAAGGUUAUUGCACGGACCCGGCGGCCGCUUGCCGUGCCGCUUGCCGGGAGCCCUCCGAGGUGCUGGCCGAGCUUGCGCUCACGGACGCCUGUGCUGUGCCAGAAAGCAAAAUGUGGUUAAAAAGCCCACGCCGUGCCGCUUUCCUGCUUGCACGCUAAUGCUAUUUGCGUAUAGGUGAAUAAACAGCAGGCAGCGGCGAGCCUCUGCGAUGAGCGCCACCUUCAAAGCCAUCCUGUAUCCCGCUAUGGAGGCAAUGCAAAGUUGUAGUUACUAUAUUACAAAAGGAUUAUAAUCCAAAACUAUAUAUAAGGGCAAAGCGUCAUGCAUCCCUGCUACUGCCUCCCAGACAAGCGGGCUCUGCUCGGGCGGGCUACAUCGUUCGUUUAUUUUCUUCCUUCAAAAGAUUUUUCAUGCAGUGCAAGGAAUUAAAUCUAAAAAAUCCCCAAAUUAAAGGGCUCCUGCCUUCCAUUCAAGGCCGUUAAUGAGGUUUUGGGCACUUUCACUUAGCCUUGUCUUUGCAUGGGACUGCAGCAGGGUCCUUCAGGGACUGUCGGGCAGAAACAUCCCUGGAUUCAUCGGGGUUCACCCAUCCCUGGCCUUGCGCUUUGCGCUCCAGUGCAGUAAAGCUGAAAUCUGGCAGCUGGCAGAAGACCUUUAUUAAUAUCACCCGGCUGCACUGUGCCCCUUUCUUUUUCCUUAUUCAUCCUGAGUUUCUAGCAUCCUCUAGUCAUGAUGUAGAAAAGGCUUCAGCAGUUCAAACCUCCCUGCUAAUUUAUGGCCAGGCUAAAUCCUUGCAGCGUCUCUAAGGGAGCCUUGCAGGCCCCCGGGAGCGCCAGGCUCUUCCAUUCAAUUUCGUCUUCUCUGUGACUCAGUGGCUAGUAUUUUAAUACAUAAUUUCAUUCAAGACUUCUCCAUACCUUGGAAAGAGCAAUGUUUAGCUUGCCAGGCUUGCUGCCUGCAAAACAGCAGCGGCUCGUUUGUCACAGCCACAGACUGUGCAUGUGUUUGAACAAAGCUAACUGCACGCUGCACGUGCACCUGCCGCAUUUCACCACGUCCACUGCCUGCAAAAGCUCUGACGCUUUUAAUUGCUUACAGUAAUUGCAUUAAUUCUAUUUAAACUGGCCGCUCGUUUCCACAACCUUUGCAUUUUGCAGCAUGAAUCCUGAUCGAGCUGGAAAUGGGCACCGACUGUCUCCAAAUGUGUUUAUUUGUCUCAAUACACCAAGCAGGCGCUGAUAGCAGUCUUUCACUAAAGAAAACGACUUCUCUGCUCAUUGGCAGCUCAUAGCCAAAACCACGAGGGUCAUGUUUUUGCAUGAGAGAGCAAGUAUUCCCGGAAAAACGCACGCACAGCCCUUGUGCCCAUGAGUUUGGGGUGUGCAAAACGAGGAUUUGUAUUUAGAUGUGGAUCCAGCUUGUGCAGACAGCUAAUGUGUGCAUGCGGCCGUGCCAGUGUGGUGGGGGCUCUUCUUUGGGGAAAGAAAUGCAAAAAAGAACCAGGUCUUUCGUCAUAGACUUGAGGAGCUCCCUGUGCCUCUGUUCCCGGGGAAGAGCCUGCUCCCGGGCGAGCGCUGCUGGUCGGGGCACGUCCUCGCCCAAAACCUGCCACGGGCACUGCUAGACCCGCCGGGGCUGCGCAGUUCCUCUGCGCUUCUGCAAAAUGUGACAGCAGGAACCUGCGUCGGUGCCACCGCGCUGAUUCGGAGCAUGCAAAUCGCUUGCCAGCUCCUCGAUGCUAAAAUGAUCAAUACUUGCAAGAAAGAUGCUCAUCGCUUCUGCGUAGCAACGGCCUCAGGAGCAGCAGGCGGUGUUUAACGGAAAGGCAACGGGAUGUUGUUUACCCUGGACGUUACUCCUGAAAUAACGAGUGCAGCUCAUUUUCCCUCCAGCCCUGCCUGCCUUAGCAGCGCCUUUCGCAGGCUGCUGGGGGCCCAGCGAUGCUCUCCCCUGCAGCAGCUCGGGGGCACCAGGUUUACCCCAGAUCCAUGCGUGCUUCCAAACCCGCUAUUUUGCCUAAAGCUGCUUUCGAAUUUGAGAUAAACUCACUAAAUAAUGCAAGCCAAAAAGGUGCUCUAACCCUGCAGCUCGGUGCAGUUAAGCAGGGCUCCUGCUCCUUCGCCGUCCCCGCGGCCGUUUCACACGCGAAACCUCUCCGGCAGCCGGCGAGGGGAGAAAAAGCAAUGAAAUACAUGAAGACACUCUCUUAAGAGGAAAGGUUUGGCAUUAAAUAUGCAUGGGCUGGUUUAGCAAUUACCAAGGGGCAAGUGAAUAUCUAGAGAGGGAUGAAGUUUGUGGGCACCAGGGAUGCAGAGGAAUUAUUUAGCGUGGGAAAGCGCAUGGGGAUAUAUUGUGAAGUAAUAGGAUGAAAUGAGGUAGUAGAAAGAGAUCGGCUGGAUAUCAAGAAAAUCUGCAGAGUAUUGACAUGAAUAAUUACUGGGAAGCUGUGCAAAGCUCAUUGCCUGAAACGCGUGUCUGGAUUUUCAAGGGAACAUGGAGGGGUAGAUGGGAAAAAGUUGGUUAGAUAGAAAUAGCAUGAAACCAGUUCUGCUCCGCUACAGCUGAAUUGCAGUUAAAAAGUUGCAGUUGAAAAUAAUCUGGACGGUUCCCCGCAGGGCACAGACUGUGCUGUCUGCUCAGCGCUGAAGCAAGCACAACCUCCGCCCUGGCUUGGGGAAGCAGACGAGACACUGGGAAUAGCUGGCGGAGCUGGGAAGCGCGACUUCAAAGAGUCGCGUUUCUUCUUCUUGUAAACAGUAUCAUGCAUAUUCCUGUUAUACAGCCUCACUUUAAUUAGCUUUAUUUUUUUAGACAAAAAUGCCAGCCCCUGUUUGCAUCCUCAACCCGUUCUUUCCAUGUGCUCCAGAUAACAUUUCACAAUGUAGUUAAAAUAACUUGAUGUUAUUAGAGCAGUUGGUAGUUUCUUAAUUCAGUGUGCGCCUUAAAAAUUAUAAAAGAUAAUAAUCUUUGCUUUAUACAAUGAAUUUUGAUACUAAUAAUGUACUCAAUAUGAUUAUAUCAUGUAGGUUAUCAUUUAGUCUAGUCGGUGGUUAAGAAACCCAAGUCGCAUCCAGCAUCCCACGGUGCUAGGAGCUACGCAGAGCUAGAACAGCUCCUUCAGACAUUCAUUGUAUCGGCAAAACUAUUAUCUCUCCAAAAGUCAUCUAUUAUUUUAAUGGUUUCACUGAAGUAGUUAUCUCUCUUCAAUUACAAAUUCAUAGUCUUUCCCACUGUAAUACAUUUACUAAAAUAAUUGCAUUAUAAAAUACGGUACAACUGGGUAAUCAAUGUGAGUAAUUCUGAAUAAUAACUGUGCAGUUUGUAAUGUAAUUUUAUUUUAGCUUGCUAAAGGACGUGCACAGAGAGGUUUGGUUGUGGUCUGAUGUAAGGCUCAGGGGACAAAGACAGGAUGAGCUAUCGGGUUCCCUUGACAGGAUGAAUCCAGUCUGUCGGAUCCAACUCUCCUUCGGGGAACAGAUUGUUUCGUUACUUUCUGCAUCCCCCAUGGCUGGUUUUUCUUCGUGGUCCCGUAGAAGUAGUGUAUGGACUCCCAGGAGGUCAGCAAUCACAGAUGGAAAACCAGUGUUUAGUUGUGCGAAGGACGCACAGACACCUGAUCGCGCGGAGGUAUGGGCUUUGCAUCAGCUCCCGAGUCACAGAACGAUGGGCUCCUGGCAGGAUGCGAAGAUCUCACAGCCAGCGGCACGGCUUCUCGGCCACACACGGAGCUGGUGUUGCCUGAUCUCUCUGUCCAUCCGUCGCGUGUCCAUCCCUUUGCGACAUGAGUCUGUAAGCAGAACGGUACCCAGUUUACCCUGGGUCAGGGUUACCUCUUCCUACCUACUGCCUUCCUGCGGGUCUGGACUUCGCUCAGUGUUGUGCACUCAGCUCUCUUUUUGGACCUAACUCAUACUUGUGUCUGCAGAAAGCCUCGCUGGUGUGCAAGGACACUGAAAUGGUAACCGCUAAGUAAGUCUGCUGUUUGCAUUACACUGAUCCGUGCUGGAGUAACGUUGCACUCAUGCCCCCCAGCAACACUUUGGAAACAAGACCCCAACCUCUGAGGCCAUCUCAGGAAGCCUCUUUAAUGUAAAUAUGGUGCCUACCAAAGGGAACACCAAAGAGGACAAGGAAGCGAGGAUUCAAAUGCACAGUACAUCUCAAUACACAGUUCAUGACCUCCUGACUUUGGUGCUCUGUUGUUCGUGGUGAAAAUGUGGUCAAAGAAUAUAUAUGGACAGUGAUGCAUGUAUUAACUGUGUGUACAGCUGAGGUCCUCCCACAUGGACGGAAGUGGUGAGCAGACGCGAUCUACUCGAGUAGGUCCUUGAGCUCAGAAAUUUGGAGCAUUGUCAUGUAGGUGCUUGCAAGAUGUUAAAGGAUGGGUCUGAAUCCCAGACCAGGGGUGUAAGGACGUUGCACCGCUCUCACUAAGAGCACCCACACGCUCUGGAAUGAGAAAGGCCUGGCAGGUUUCCUCCUGGCAGGAGUACGACGCGGGUCAGAGAGCGUGCAAACUCCUUCAGCAGAGAAUAAUACAUUUGCUGCACAGAUUGGCACAGGCUGACAUCCACGUCCGAAAGAAACAUUCAGCGAAAGCAGGAAGGGACCGCGCGGUAACAUGCCAGGAAGUAAAAUGAGAUUAGCUACUGGGUAGGUCCGGGUGCAGCAGAACUGAAAUCAUGGGAGUCGGAUUAGAUCGCCGUCAAAAAUAUCACUCACCGGCUGCCUACUGCAUCCGCCAGGGCGGGGCUGAGAGGAGGAAAGGAAAAAAGUAUGAUUCACCCUCUCGUGCCGCGUGUAGCCCCACUUCUGGGAAAGGCCAGGGCGCAGGAGAAGGCUGUUUGAAGUUCUCGCCUCGCCCACUAAAGCACACUCGGUAACCACAAGCAUCGUGGUAUUUUGUUCCACAGGGGUUGGUUAAGAAGGAAGAAGAAACGGCAGUACACAUACCACAAUUUAAGCCAUCAUAUAUACAUGCUUAAUAAUGAAGAUGACUCAAUUCUGACAUUAUUUUGCUAAGACUUCUGUAUAAAUAGUUUAUUAGGGUGAAUGGGACAGAUGAUGUUUUUUGACCACGACAUCAGUCCUGGCUCCACUGUUUGCUCACCUCUUGCAGGGGUCGAGCGGGACCCGCAGAGCUUUCCCUCUGCAGCCACUUCUCCCGGGACCUCGUCAGUGGGACUGGCACAGGCAGACACCUCCCAGAAAUCGGACAUGGGAGCCUUUCCAGAGCACCCGGGGAAAUGCCCCAAGUUCUCCUGGAUGAGUUCUGCUUUGGGGCUGGGCGGCUGCUCAUGCAAAGGUGAAAUUGUGAGGGUUACACAGCCGAACAUCGACUUUGCUGCACCUGAACACCACUGCGUCAGACUGUCUCCAGCAGGACAGAGCAGGAGGGACCAGCGGCCGCAUCUGGCCUGAACAACCUAGACAUCCCCGCGUGAGCAUGGCGCACAAGAUCGUCCUGGAUGUAUGCUGGGGAGCAGGGUGUGCGCACAGAGAAGGGUUCGACCGAGGCCACAGAAGCAGCCGGGGACACAACGGGGCUGGACGCAGCUCCGUGGACCUCAGGACCUCCCGCCGCACCAUCGCUCUGCCCAGCGCCCACCUAACCCACAGGAUGCAACCGCAGCGAGCGGCUAUAACGGCGCCGUGGCUCCGUCUUCCCAGUCAGUACCUGCUAAUAGACAACCGGGAGCAAGGACACGACAGGCCCUCCAGGGCCAUCGGCUCCCCGCCAGCUCUGCCGCUGCCCUGCCUGCCCCCAGCCAUGCCGACCGCGGCGCCCGGCUCCCGCGGCUAUUCCUGCUGCCUGGCCACCGCAGCUCAUUGCUCCGCAGAGUGAGUCCUGCUAGUUGCAACGAGCACCAGGUUUACAACGAGCACCAGGUUUGCCGCUGAUUUUCAUCGAGACAGGAAAGCGUUACAGAUUAAUAUCAUUCUGCGUGUGCCUGUUUAUCUAAAAUUAGGACUGAGCUGAAUAACAUUUCGGUUACAAUUUGGCUAUAUGUGGUGCUGAGCAAGCCAGCUAGACAGAGCAAUGCCGAGGCUCAUUCAGUCCUGCUGACUGCAACGUCAACACUCCCAGAUCCAGCACGGCCAGUUUCCACCAGUCCUUUCCUCUGUGUGUGAAUUGGGCAAGAAAAGAUUUUUUUUUAAGCAGGUAUUCUCAGUUCAAUGUUCUCUCCAAUUUGCUUGACCAGUUAUUUAUGCAGUGAAAUGUGUUUUGUUCUAUGUGUUUGCUGUGGCCUGCCAAUUACAAAUACUGCUUUGGAUAUUCAGCAUUUCAAAUUCAGUAAUUAAGCCCAGAUCACAUGAUACAGCUUCUCUUCCUGAAAAUUCAUUGUUUCUGGGAAAGUAAUGCAAAGUCAUGUAGGUAAACUUACCCAAAGACAAUUAAUUUUGAGUGGCAACUGUCAUAAUUUGAUGUACAAUUCAAAAUUCACAAGUUGUAGGUAUUUUGAGUGUUGAGCUUUAAAUUCCUUUUCUAUGAACAUUUAUGUGGCUCCUUAAUGACUGCAAAUAGAAAAAUUAAAGACCAAAAGAAGAGAGAAUUGAAAUUCACUUUUAAAAUGAAUAUUUUAUUACUGUUUUCCUGCUCAUAGUCAUUGUGAGAGGAUACUAAAUAAUUUUUUUCAGUGCUAGCUUUUAUUUUAAGAAAAGCUAUCUGCCUGCAAAAUGAAGCAUAAUUCAUUUGUAUUCUCUUCUCAUAACAUACAAUACGCAGAAAUAGAUCAUCUGAGCAAAAGAGGAACAACAGGAAACUUUUAUUGGCAAAAAAUUGGGUUUGCAAAAUUGCGAAGACAUCACAGAGACAAAAAGAAAACCCUGGAUAUGUAGUUACGAGUUCUUAACAAAGCGGCUUAGGCUCUACCAUGAGCCCGUCCCUUAUUUUGCAGUAGAAAAUUUGCAUCCAGCAUUUGGUACAGUAGUUGGAGGCCAGGCAUUGAGAUGUCCAUUCAUUCCCCGUUACUCUUCUCUCCAGCUCCUGAUGGAACAAGGAGGAAGACGUUUAAGUAGCAUUUGUUCAAGACAAAAAAAUUGGGCAUUUUUUUUUUUGAAGUUUCAUUAUUGCACCUCAAGAAACGUGCUCUUACCACUGAGCUGAAGCCUAUGUAAUUAGGAGAAAGCAAAGAAAGGUAUUAUUUCUCACUUGUCAAAUCAGAAGCGGAGUUUCUCUGGAGGAUAUACCUGAUCGUGGCCCGCUGUGUUGCACUUCAUUUUAUCCCCAGUGCACGUGUCGUAGUCCUUAGACAUUUUAGCUGCUGGGGUCAUUACAACAGAGAUCUUUCAGAGCCAGCAGAUAAGGGUCUGUUUCUUAAUUCAGAUGAAACAUGGGACUGCUCCUGUCAGGGAGGACUAUACAUAUGAGAAAUGGCUUGCAGGAGCGAGCCUUUCACUGCGAUUAUAAAGACUCUAAGGAAUGUUUCCAUGGUAAAAUAAAAUAUAUUAGCUUUCUAAAGAGGACAGGAUCCUCUGUGUGAAGCCCUGAAUAUUGCUGGUGCUGCAGGCACUGAUAGUGAAAAAGCUGAAAUGUGAAACCUGCAGAUGAAAAGAAGAAGAAAAGAGAGAGGUGAAAGAACUAAUAAAAGGUUUGGAAGGGUUUUAAGAUAUUUUAAAAUACUUGUUUCUGCCAGGCUCUUGGUUUGACCAAACCAUUCCAGCUGCCAUGGAGGAAACCAGAACAGCUAGGAAAACAAGAAAGAGAAACAGAACUGUCACAGAGCUUGAGAAUGAUGCGAAAAAGCCUGCUUUCCUCUCAUUAAUACCCUUUCCAUAGCAAUGCAUAUGGUUAGAGGGGAAAUAAACUUGCAGAGAAAUUUGAGCAAGCCGUGGUUGUUGUAUCUAGAGCACCGUCAGGGGAACGAUGAACACGGAUGGCCAAGCGGCAGCCCCAGCGCUGGAUGCAAGGCACGUUUCUUGCUCUCGAUACCACUGGACAGCUAUUCAAGCUUGUUUCAAUGCCCAGGCUAAGAAGCUCUCCUGGACUGCAGGAUAACCACACGCAAGUGGCUCUGCAGAAGCCACCUGGGAUCCAACCGGGUCACUGCUGAGCAGGAGCUAACAAGGCUUGAUGAAUGUGAUGUGAAUUUGUGCCAUUGAUUGCCUCCGUGCUGCAUCUUUAUUUCACAUCAUAUGCUUCCAUUUAAACAUGAAGAGCUACUUCUUGUCAAAGCUUCGAAGCACUUAGGCCACAUUUGUCCCUCUUGGGCCAAAUCAUCUGUUCUUUCACCAAAGUAGGUACCACCUAACUCUCCCGCUCCGUGUUUCCCAGUUAGGUCCACCGCUGUAUCUACCAGCCCAAAGCGCGUCCCAGAUACCCCAGGUGAUCUCAAAGGGCACAACGUGGCAGUGUGCGUGGCUGGAGACUUCAGCCCCAGCUUCCUGCUUGGCUCGUACUUUGCUUUUAUUUUUCCCUCCAUCAGCACUCUCCUGCCCGAGUGGCUGCUUUUACCGCAUUUGUGCUAGCUUUUGGGUGAGAAAUGAUGCUUUUUUCUCGAGCAGAAUUUCUAACAACGGAAGGGCACAGCAUUGAGAGCAAGGACCUGCGAGGACCAACGCCGCCGAGGCCGGCGCUGGAUGCUCUGCUCUGCCCCGGGCUGCACAGCCUCUUUAAACACACAUUUUCUUUUCAGGGCUUAAUUAGCCAGAAGACAUCUAGAAGCUUUUUCCAGUGGGUCAUGAUUUUAUGGAAAUCUUGUUAGAGUGAUUAAUUUUUAUCAGGGAUAAAGCUCUCCUCUUUCUCAGAACUCCACAUUAUUUUCCAGCCACCGACAGAUCGGACCCACACAGCACAUUAAAGAGCACUCUGUUUCCAGCUUUUACAGAUUAAUUCCAUUCAGAGCUUUUUAGCCCUCUCUGUACUACACGUAAUAAGAAAAGAAGAGCAUUUGGUGCAAAGAAAAGUUUUCUUUAUGACUCCUAGCUAAAGUCUUCCAUUUGAUAUUCUGGACGGAAGUAUAUAUGAGUAUAUAUAAAUACUCCAAGUAGCUAAUCCCUUGUACAAAGCUAUGUUAGUGAUUUUUAAGUGAUUACAGCUGGACUGCAUAGCUUCGAUAGGGAUGUGGUGGUGUAUCUCAGAAUUAUCCCUGUCCUCUGCCUCUGCGACUGACUCUCAGGCACCCUCGUGAGAUGACUCCUGUGGACGCUGGAGGCCCUUAGAGGGGAUCUUUAUACUCACCUCGUCUGCAGCUCUGCGUAGUGCAGGGCAUGGACUGCCAGAUCAGUGCCUCCGCAUCCACACAAAUCAUUUUUGUUCAAACUAGAGCAAAUAAUUUUGAGCUAUUGGUUCAGAGAACAGUGGCUUUCUCCUACAUUUCUCCCACUCCAUUGGCUGACUUUUCCACUGAAUUAUACCAUUCUUUGUAUGAUGUUAUUGGUACAUAUCUUUGCAUAUCAUUAGUAGAUACUUCUUUUUUCUUUUAUUCCAGCAGAGAUUUUGGCCACGAUACUCGGGCUGCUUCUUUCUGCUGUAGAAAGUGCCUGGCAGCAUCAAAAGGGUUUUGGGAUGAACCCUGGUCUUUCCUCGUCUUUGCCACAGCUCCCCGGUUUUGCUCUUUACCUCCACUGACCUGCAGUACUGUGUACUAUGCUAUGUGCAAUUACUAUCUGUAAUUACUACCUGUAACACUACAAAGCAGCAGGGACCUGAGCCCCGUGUUGGCACGGUGAGGCUAUGCCUUUCCAGCCAUUCCAGGAAACCCCCUCUGCAUCAGAGCAGCUUCUUCCCCUAACCUCGUAAUUCACUCAGUGGACAAAUCAGCAGAAAAUCCUGCAAUGACGGCGUUGACUGAUGCCUCAGGAGACCAUAACUAACACUGCAGGAAAAGUGGGGAACUGUGCGUGAAGCUGAGUGCUUUCCUUCAGCCUAUUUUUCAGAGUUUAUUGCAUAAAAGUGUUUCCAGGGACUGUUAAAGCAAAUUUUCAGCCAGCUCUACAGAAACAAAGGAUUGGCUUGCUCAAAAGAGAUGCAGCUUAGGCCUGCGUGAAAGAUUUGUCUGCUGCGUUUUGUUCUGUUUAUGCAAGGUUUCCAUGGAUAAUAUGAAAAUGCCCAGAGGAGACUUGGGGAAAAGGAGCCCACACGGAUGCAGUAUGUUAAGCUGUUAUAAAUUGACUAAUCUCAGCUGAAGUGAAGAUAAUGGGACAGUUCUGCUGAAAUCAGUGCAAGUAUAUUUUCCCACCACAGCAGCCCUAGGUAUUGAAAAGGGACAUUAGGGCAUUUCAGACUGGUCAGUACUUACUAACUGCUGCUUCUGAGUCUGCAGCAAGUGGCAGUCACAGCAGACCAAGUCAAAAGCAAGGAACCGGUGCAGUUCAACGCAGGCCUUAUGAUACAGCUUUCCUCACCAUUAAUAAAUAAAUGCAUAUGCACAUAAUAAUUUAGGUGUUGCUAUUUAGUGUUUGCAACAUCAAAGUGAUCCUGCUUUGUUUCUGAACUUUUAGGCAUAUCAGAUAUUUAAAACGUUGCAACACAGGGAAUUAUUAAAAAUGGGUGCAUUUCGAAGUAAAACAAUAGAGCCAAUUUAGGAAAAAAAGUGAUUGAAAUUACUUUGCAAUUGUAGAUUGCAUUCCUGACUAGACAGAAAUGCUCAAGGUAGUUAUCUGCUGGCCUUGAAAAUAUUCUUUUUUAUCCUCACAAGGAAAAUAUAUAUUUUUUAUUUUUAAUCCCAGGCAACUUUCUAGAUACAUGUAUUUUUUUUUUUCAAAAUUCCUGAUACUUGGUAGCAAUAAAUAAAUAAAUCAAUCUGGGCA